ACUCAAAUGAAUAGACGGGGGCCCGCACAAGCGGUGGAGCAUGUGGUUCAAUUCGACGCAACGCGAAGAACCUUACCGGGGUUUGAACUGUACGGGACAGCUGCAGAGAUGCAGUCUUCCUUCGGGACCCGUAUAGAGGUGCUGCAUGGCUGUCGUCAGCUCGUGUCGUGAGAUGUUGGGUUAAGUCCCGCAACGAGCGCAACCCUUGCCUGCUGUUGCUAACGAGUAAUGUCGAGCACUCUGCAGAGACUGCCGGUGAUAAACCGGAGGAAGGUGGGGAUGACGUCAAGUCCUCAUGGCCUUUAUGCCCCGGGCUACACACGUGCUACAAUGGGCGGUACAAAGGGUCGCAAAACCGCGAGGUGGAGCUAAUCCCAAAAAGCCGCUCCCAGUUCGGAUUGGAGUCUGCAACUCGACUCCAUGAAGUUGGAAUCGCUAGUAAUCGCGGAUCAGCACGCCGCGGUGAAUACGUUCCCGGGCCUUGUACACACCGCCCGU
rnacentral:rRNA from 1 species